rnacentral:rRNA from 1 species
AUGUGCAAGAGACAAUGGACCAAUCCAUCCCUUUUUUCCCGUGCAUAUGCAUCGGACUCGGAUGACGAUGGUCCCGAUGAAGAAGUUGAUGAGGAGGGGUUCACACCGAAGGAGGCCCAAGCAUUCAAGAAGGUAUUCGGGCGGGAUCACAAGACACCAUUGUUCAAGGAUCUUAGUCUCGCGGAUGAAGCCGUUGUGGAUGGUGGCAAAUGCAUAUCUCUUGGAGCUAGGCCAAGUUCUCACCGUGAUUUGGAAGAUGGCAAGAACGGGAUAUAUCCCGGUUGUGAGUUUCAAUCCUUCUUGGAAUUGAAGAUGUGGCUCGACAACUACUCGGUUACGCAUUAUCGUCCACAUAAAGUGGCCAACUCGGACGUCAAUGUGCGUUACACGGUCAAAUGUGAAGUGCCAAGUUGUCCAUGGAUUGUGCGUGCAAGGCCAUGGAAAGGAGGUCCCACUUGGCGCAUAGUGAGUUGUCUACCAAAUCACAUGUGCCGGCACAAGAAUGCGGAUGGCAAGCUUGUGUACCAACAACACAGACAACUCACGUCCGAGUUCAUCGCUUAUAGGCUUUCCAACCAAAUAUCCACACUUCCAACAAUGAGCAUCAAGAGUGUCAUUGACCUUGUGAAAGCCAUCUUUCAUUACAAGGUGAAGUACGGCAAGGCAUGGAAGGCAAAGCAAGCCGCAUUCAAGAUGUUGUAUGGCAAUUGGGAGGAAGCAUACAACCGACUCAAUGCAAACUUCUAUAGGGCAUGUGGUGGUUGA